UACGGAGGGUGCGAGCGUUAUCCGGAUUCACUGGGUUUAAAGGGUGCGUAGGUGGGUUGGUAAGUCAGUGGUGAAAUCUCCAGGCUUAACUUGGAAACUGCCAUUGAUACUAUCAAUCUUGAAUACCGUGGAGGUCAGCGGAAUAUGUCAUGUAGCGGUGAAAUGCUUAGAUAUGACAUAGAACACCAAUUGCGAAGGCAGCUGGCUACACGAAUAUUGACACUGAUGCACGAAAGCGUGGGGAUCAAACAGG
rnacentral:rRNA from 1 species